rnacentral:lncRNA from 1 species
CAAAGACCCACUCACCCAAUCCGCCGCCACCACCCUCCCCGCCAAGUCUGGUAUCGUUAUCGGCUCAGGGAACUACAUUGUCACCGUCAGCCUCGGUACACCAGCCAAGCAACUCUCCCUCGUCUUCGACACUGGCAGCGACCUCACCUGGACCCAAUGCCAGCCAUGUCCUACUACUCGGUCUUGUUACAAACAGACUGAGCCCAUCUUCAACCCUUCUCUCUCCGCCUCAUACAAAAAGAUCCCAUGUACCACCGCCGCGUGUACUCAGCUCCCAUCCUCCGGCCUCGAACAAAGCUGCUCCGCCUCCACCUGCCUUUACAUCGCCGUUUACGGUGACAACUCCUUCUCUAAAGGGGUAUUUGGCAGCGAAAAGCUUACAUUGACCCCUACGGACGUUUUUGAAAGUUUCCUCUUCGGCUGCGGCCUAGACAACGGAGGCCUAUUCAGAGGAUCCGCCGGUUUGCUAGGUCUCGGCCGGAGCAGCAUCUCCUUCGUCGAGCAAACCGCCAAUAAAUACAACCGGUUCUUCUCCUACUGCCUCCCGUCGACUUCCAGCUCCACCGGUCACCUCACCUUCGGUGACGGAGGCUCUCCUAACGGCGUUAAGUUCACGAAGCUCAUCACGUCAUCCCAAAGCGAGUCGUUUUACGGCCUCGGCCUCGCCGGCAUCAAAGUCGGUGGGAGCCAGCUGUCGAUUGCGCCCUCGGUCUUUUCGUCUUCUGGAACGAUCAUCGACUCGGGGACGGUGAUCACGAGGUUGCCGGCGACGGCAUACGCAGUGUUGCGGGGCGCGUUUCGGGAGGCGAUGAAGAACUACACACUGACUAAUGGCGAUUCGUUGCUGGACACGUGUUACGAUUUCAGCGGCUUGAACACGGUGUCAUAUCCGAAGAUAGCGUUUGUGUUUGGGGAUGGACUUACGGUGGACUUGGACGCGACCGGGAUAUUGUUUCCGAUAAGUCCUUCGCACGUUUGCUUGGCGUUUGCCGGAAACAAGGAUGAUAGAGACGUCGGGAUUAUUGGGAAUCUUCAACAGAAGAGGUUGGAGGUUGUGUAUGACGUGGCCGGAGGAAAAGUCGGAUUUGCCCCUGCAGGUUGCGAUUGAGUAAUGACGUCGUCCAUGGGUAUAAGUGUAAUACAAACAGCUUGCUAGCUAUAGAAUAAAGCAUUGGGUUACAUAUUUGUGUGUAAUGUUUGUCUGUUGUAAGUCGGUGUCUCCUGUUUUUCUUUUUUGGGUUCUUAUUCUUAAGGGAAAUACCCAUGUAAUUCUUAUUUUCUAGAUAUAAAUUUAACUAUUUCUAAAUAUUUAAGAUAAGUCUUAAACCCAAAUUCCAAAUAUGCUGUCAUUUAAGAUAAUAUAUAUUUGUCCUAGUAUUAUCAGUUAAAUUACAAUAUGUGCCAUUAACCUUCAUCAAUUCCUUCCUUUGUUUGCAACUAAAUUUCAUUUUAGAAUCUAAACCGAACUCUGUGCGUGUCCGACACUUGGCGGGUGCCGGGCACACUUGACUAAAUUGCGCUUCUAACGAAACCGAAGUUCAUCUCAAGUUUGACUUCUGUUGAAAAUUCGGCAGAAUCUUCCAUGUAAAUAGUCGCUACCCCAAAUUGCAUGAAGUUUACAUUCAAGCAAUCCAACAACAUAACUAUAUGGCCUUAGGCUUUACAGAAAUCCUAGGGCAAUUUCAGAGCAAUACUAAUCAGUUUAAUUUACAGGAAUAGUUCAAUUAUAAAAGAAAUCCUACAUAGCGGAAAAGAUGAGUGAAGAGUGGUGACUACCCUGUGGUGGCGCUCUGGUACACGACUACUGCCUUAGGGUGCAAAACAUUUAAAAGUGUGAGUGGACAAAAAUAAACUUUUGGAAAAUAGAAUAUUAACAUACUAACCCCACUGUUAAAACAUUAUGUUCUAUAUUCGUACAAGAAUAAAGACAUACAUAUAACUAAUCACGCAUUCAAAUUCUCAAAACCUUUUGAAGGCACUGUAAAGAAAUAAUAUAUUUCUCACUUAGGUGUACCCAUCAUAUAUCCGUCAAUUCCAUGGUCUUUUACUUAUUUCCCAUAUUAUACCCUCAAUUCCUUGUGUCACAUAAUGCGACACAUCCUCGCAAGUCUCGGAAACACAAAGUCACCGGAGCCGCAUUCCUCGCAAGACUCAGGGGACAUUAAGUCAACCUGAGCCGCAUUCCUCGCACCACACGGUUCGGGCAUCCUCGAAACUAGUGGGGCAUUGUCAAACGCGCACUGACUCAACCGAACGCAACUAGAAUGUCCGUGGACAUUAUUAUAACCGUAGGCAACAAUUUUAUCCGAAGGCAACAUAUUAUUCGAAGGCAACAUAUUAUCUGAAUGCAACAUUUUAUCCGAAGGCAACAUCUUGGGUACCUAUGGUGGUUUAAAAAUAUUUCUUAGAAAAAUUAUACUUUUAUUUCUCAAUAAAUCCUUCAAUCAUAUUAUCACUUCCUUUCCUACUUUCCAAGCCUUUUAAACAUGAACAAAAUUUAAUAAAGAUAUUUGAAUUCAAAUAUUUAUGCUUGGAAAGUAAUAGUCAUAAAUAAUUCAUUCAAAAUCAAUCAAUGAAACUUUAAUUGCAUAAAAUUCAUUUACAAAACAAAAGUUCACUCACUGAGCAUCCGAGCUAGCCUGACUCUUUGAGGGUCUUUCCUGCACGUUCAACGAAAUCUGAGUACCUAUUUAAGCAAUUAAAACAUUUUAUUAAUAAAAUAGCUCAACCACAAUUACUUAUUCAACACCCUGACCCCCGGCCUCAUAAGUGCGUGUACGUGACUUACAAAGGUUACUAGGCCCAUUUUCAACAUUUCUGACAGGUGGAAUGGUCUGAAAAGACCCGAGUUUAAAAAAGCGAUUAAAUUUCCAUAUUGGUAAAUCCGGUACCCCGUCGGGUCCACGACCGCCGAUUACCCAUCUAAGAGUUCCUAUAGGUUCAACACACUUUACUAAACAUGCCCUGCAAGUUUGGUCCGAAUCGAACGAUCGGAUUACUCACGAUCGCACGAUUAUCGUUUAACUUAAACUUUGAAAUAUUGAAUCAGAGUAUCCGAAACUCCGAUUCUCGAUCCGCGAAUUUCUACAUGAUCCCAGAAGCGCCUAAAUCAACCUAAUUGAAAAUGAAGUAGAUCCAACGGUCCCAACAUAUCAAACCAGGAUAACGCCUAAUAUACGAUAUCUGAUCGACGAUCAAACAAUAACCAAAUUGAAAUUCGAGUAUACCGUCGCGCUCAGGACGACGUGGGGAUCAUUCUGGGACAAAAAUCCAACAUUGACACCCCGCCGACGCGCCGCCACCACUGGCAGGUAUAUUGAGUAAUUUUUCGGCGAUCGAAAAACUCCGAACUGCCAGUCAAUAAUCAUACCUACGGAUUAAGCACAUCAAGAGGAGUAAAUAUCAUGAAUCCAAUUGACAUUGGAACAAAGUUGCAAGGUUUGGAAAUGAAUGUAGAUGAAGAUAUGAUGGUUCAUAUUGCUUAGAAUUCACUAUCUAAGGAGUUUAAGUCUCUCAGAGAUACCUACAUUUCUCAAAAGGAAAGCUGGACACGGGAUGAUCUUAUCACCAUAUGUGUUGAACAGUAACACAAUAUAAUAAGAGAAAGAGAUGAAAAAAUGGUGAAUCAGAUGCAGUCAAAGCAAAAUAAGGAAUAUAGGAACAAAGCCAUUGCAGCUGGAAAAGAGAAAGAAAAUGAAAAGGAUAAUAACAGUCCAAAUGCUCUGAAACCAGUGGGAUUGAAAUGCUUCUUCUAUAAGAAAACUGGACAUAUGAAAAAGGAAUACAUAAGGUAUAAGAAAUGGUUGGACAAACAGAAAACUAAAGGUAAAAGUGAUCAAGUUUUGGUUUGCUUUGAAUCUAAUUUAGUUGAUUUUAUUGAUGAUUCAUGGUGGUUAGACAGUGGUGCAUCUAUUCAUGUGACUAAUUCUUUGCAAGGGUUCAUAAAGAGGAGGCUGCCAAGCAAGGAUGAAGUGAAGGUGUUCGUAGGAAAUGGUAGGGGUGGCAUUUUAAACCGAAAAACCGAAAAACCGCAAAAAUCAACCGAUAUUUUACCGCAAUAAAACCGCAAUCGCGGUAAACCGAACCGCAAUCGCGGUAUUAAGAACCGAACCGCAUUUACGGUUGCGGUUGCGGUAUUUGAUUUUCAAAAUUUGCAGUUACCGCAAACCGCAAAGUAUAGCCGCACGGCUAUACUCUAUGAAUAAUUAAGUAAAAUUGUAAACCCUUCUCUUCUCUUGAAUUGGUGGAAAGGGAACCAAACAAGAUAUCCUAUUCUUUCACAAGUUGCCAAGGAUAUCUUUGCAAUUCCAAGUUCUACGGUUGCUAGUGAAAAUGCUUUUAGCCUAGGCAAGAGGAUUGUGGAUCCUUUUAGAAGCUCUUUGCAUCCUAAAAUGGUAGAGGCAUUAGUGUGUACUAGUGAUUGGCUUAGAGCGGACGAAUUUUCCUUUUACAAGGAACCAACAGAUGAUGAGGUUGAAUUCUACAAGGAAAUGGAAGAUAUGACAACUUGUAAGUAAUUAGUUUAUUUAUGCUAAUGUUAUUUAUGCUUCUUCUUAUAAUAAAAUGUACUAAACUAUGUUGUUUUAUUUGUAGAUAGCAUUGGUGCUCAAACAAUACAAAGGGGUUCUUCAAAUCCACUCACCACCAACACUUGAGUUUGUAACAUUGGUGUAUUGCAUUUUUCCUUUUAGUUUGUAACUUUAAUUAACUGUGAAUUGGAUUUUUCUUUUUGAUUGUAACUUUAAUUCAUUUUGCUUUUGGUUUGUAAAUUUAAAGGAUUUGGAAUUGGAAUGCUUGAGAAGUUUAACUUUAAUUGGAAUGUUUGGAAUUGUAACUUUAAUUUUCUUAGGUUGUGAAUGCUUGAGAAUUGGAAUCGAUUGUGAAUUUAUAUAUGCUUGAGAAAUUGAGGUUGUAUAUUUAUUUAUUUAGGUUGUAAAUUUAUAUUUUUGUGAAUGCUUGAGAAUUUGCGGUUUUAAACCGCAAAUUCUCGGUAACCGACCGCAUUUUUGCGAUUUACCGCAAUGCGGUAAACCGCAAAACGCGGUCGGUUUGCGGUUUCAAAAAUCACCAAACCGCAAAUAGUCGGUCGGUUUGCGGUUUGAAUAAAAAUUCGCGGUUACCGAACCGCAACCACCCCUAGGAAAUGGAGAAAAGUGCAAGUAGAUAAUAUUGGAGUAGUUAGGAUUGAACUAGAUUCUUGUUUUGUUUUUUAUUUAGAAGAUGUGGUUUAUGUUCCUUCAAUGAGCAAGAAUCUCAUCUCAGUUACUAGGCUUGUAAAGUCAAAGUUCACUUUGAACUUUGAUGAUUUUGGUUGUUCUAUUUUUAGAAAUAAAAGCUUAAUUGGAAAAGCAAGUAUUGUGGAUGGUAUGUUUCGAUUAAACUGCAAAAAAACUAUGCAAAUCAACUUAGUUCAAUCCAAACCAUGCAAAGAAUUAUAUUUUAAAUUGUGGCAUAAGAGACUUAGACGUAUUUCAAAGGCAAGAAUCAAUACUUUAUGCAAAGAAUUAGUUGUACCACCAUUGAAUCAUGAUAAUGCAGAUGAUAUAUGCCUAGAAUGUACAAAGGGAAAAUUGACCAACCUAAGAAAGAACGGUGUUGUAAGAAGUCAAAGUGUAUUAGAAUUAAUCCAUACAGACAUAUGUGGACCAUUCCCAACUCCAUCAUGAAAGGUUUAACUACUUCAUCACUUCUACAGAUGACUAGUCGAGAUUUGGACAUGUUUUUUUAAUCAAAGAAAAAUCCAGUGCUUUGGACAUGUUCAAAAUUUAUAAAGCUGGAGUGGCACUACUACAAAAAAGCAAAAAGACGACGGUAAAUCACCGUCGUGUAUUCGGUUUUUCAAUGGUCGUGGAAUCCACCAUCAUCUUUUCCCUCAUAAACCACGACGCUAAAUCACCGUCGUUGUUAAAAUAUACAACGUCAUCAACAAAUACAAAACGACGUCUUUGUACUGCAAAAAGAUCUAAAAAAGCAGUCGAGGAUGAGAAUAGACGACCAACUCUCUAAAAAAACCGUCGUUAAAAAGGAAAAAUAUGACACAUAUUAAGAGAACAAGGCCGCAAGAUAGACAUACAACGACGAAAAUAAAAAUACGACGCCGUUAAAUAUCAUUUUCACGACAAUAAAAAAUUUGACAUCUUUAAAUACAUUAGAAGACGACGUUAUUGAUACCUACUACGUCGCAUAUAUAAAAACAGUCGUCGUAAAAUUAAUUUUCCACUUCGAUUUUUCGAUAAAAGAUGACGUGGAAAUAGUUGUCAGUGUCAUUAUUUACGACGUAUGUAUUUAUAGAGUAGACGUUGAAAAACGAAACAACGUCGGUUACAAAUAUAUGAGAGUCGUAUUACAAAAUUUAUACGUCAUAUUUUCAGAAACAAACAACGACGAUAAAUAUUAGACGUUGUUAAAUAAAACAACGUCGGAAAACAAUAAAAACAGACGUGUUUAGUCUGCUAAAGUUCUAGAAAAUAGUCGAGGAUGAGAAUAGACGACCAACUCAAACAAAUCACCGUCGUUAAAAAAGAAAAAUAUGACACAUGUUAAAAGAACAAGGCCGCAAGAUAUACAUACAACGACGACAACUAAAAUACUACGCCGUUAAAUAUAAUUUACACGACAAGAAAAAAUAUGACGUCUUUAAAUACAUGAGAAGACGACGUUAUUGAAAUAUACUACGUCUCUUAUUUACAAACAACCGUCGUGAAAUAAAUUUUUCACUUCGAUUUUUCUAAAAAAGAUGACGUGGAAAUAGUUGUCAGUGUCAUUAUUUACGACGUAUGUAUUUAUACAGUUGACGUUGAAAUGCGAAACAACGUCGGUGGCAUUUAUAUAGUCGACGUUGUAUUUAUAUCUAUCAUCAUUACUCACGACACACUUAAUAAUAUAGACGACGUUGAACUUCUAAACAACGUCGGUUCCAAAUAAAUGAGAGCCGUAUUACAGAACAUAUAGACGGCGUUGAUUAUGAUGAGAGCCGUAUUACAAAUAACGUCGUUUAAUUGUUAUUAGACGGCGGUUAUAAUGAAUUUCCGUCGGAAUUCAUUUCGUUCCUCUUCGUUUAUAAAAGAACUUGCGACGUGAAAAAUGUAUGAUGACGUCGUAUUUUUUAACGUUCAGAUUAUAUAUCUCGUUUUUUAGACGUCGGUAUUAUGGGAUUGGAGUCGUGUUAUUUUGAAUUACAUGGCGGUUCUUAAUCCUUCCCCGACGUGAUAUCCUGAAUAAUUGCUUCACAAUAGCGUCGUGGUUCUUCAUUGUUACGUUGCUUUAAGACGUCGGUAAAUAUGCUGAAUAACUGGUUCACAAUAACGUCGUGUUUUAUUUGAACGUAGAAAGUGAAGAAAUCACAUUACAAUAUAUUAUAAAAUUAAUGUCAUACACUGCCAAUUACAUAAGCAUCAUUCAAUCCAUAUAUCUUCACACCCAUCUCGAAUAUUUUGACCGCCUAACUCACCCACCAGUUCAUCAAAUGUGUCAACAUUUGGCAUCCCUCUAGUAAAUGGCUCACACUCAAUUAUCACAUCACCUAAGACUUCAUCACCAAUAACAUCAUUAUAUUCUCUAUUAGGCAUUGAUAACACUACUGACCAACCACGAUGCAUCGGGUCGUCAACAAAAAAUAUUUGUUUGACUUGAGAAGCCAAAACAAAUUGGUCAUUCCUAUGUCCAAUUUUACUCAAAUCUACAAGGGUAAAUCCAAGUUCGUCGACUACAAGACCAGAACUAUCUAUCCAAUCACACCUAAAGACUGGGAUUGUAAACUUUUGGUAGUCAAGGUCCCAAAUUUCUUGAAUGACACCAUAGAAACCCAUAUUUGAGAGAAUUGGGUUUUUAUCCUUGGCACUAACACAUGGACAACGGAUAUGUAUUGUAGUUAGAAGAUUUUCUACAGCAAAGUUCAAAAAUGCUUCCACCCCAAAUUCAUAUGCCUUCGAUCUUCUAUCCGAGUGCAUCCAUGACUUAUCCAUCUCCGACACUAUAACCUAUUAUCUAUAAUAAAGUGAAAAUACAGGCAAUGACCAUCACUAUAGCAGAUUAUACAAUGAUCUAAUCGCAAGUAAUACACAACAGAGACGACGGGUUUUAAACAAAAACAGACGUAUUUGGCAUAUAUAGACGACGGAUUUUCAACAGACGUCGUCUAUUAUAAGUAAUACAAACGACGGUUUAUGAAAAAACCGUCGUGUAUAAGUAAUACAACGACGGUAGUUUAAAAAAACCGUCGUGUAAUCGUCGUCGUAUGCCUUAAAAUUUGUCGUGUCUCAGUUUAUUUUCAAGAACACAAAACCCAUUAAGAACACAACAUAUAUAUGAAACCAAGCAAGAAACCAACAUAUACAUGAAACCAAGCAUGAAAACAAUAAAUCCAUUCCCAAUUCAACAUAACAUAGGGUGAUUAAAAGAUACGACAAAAUUAAAUCCAUUCCCAAUUCAACAUAACAGAUAAUGUAAUCCAUGAACCCAUUAAACAGAAAAUCCAUGAACCCAUACCUAUAAGCACAUUAUUAACAGAUCGCAAAGCAUACACAUAAAACCCUUUAACAAAACAACCUAAUAUCACUCGAAUCGUUACUAGAAUCAUCACUCGAAUCCCCAUCUUCAUUAUCAGUUUCUUCCUUCGUAGGUACUAUUUGCUCCCCAUCAUUGGUGCACUUUGCACCUUCUCCAGAGCGGAAAAUGACAAGAUCAAAUAAAGGUGUACUUUUGCUGGAAAUCAACAUAAAAAGACACAGAUCACCAACUUCCAAAUGAUUGUCACGCACAACGUCCAUCCAACUACGCCUGAAUAAGAGCCAAAUCUAAAAAAAUUUAGGUCGCGCGAAAAUUUUUAGAGCUCGCGCGUUUUAAAACGUCGAAAGAAAAACCAAGGCGAAAGUUCUACAAGUACCGACGUAAAUUUAAUAUUCCACGACGGAAACUUCAUUUUUCGGAUUAAGAACGUAAGGCCGUUCAUUUUGAAGCUUCAUUUUUCGGAUUAAUUUUAAAUUUAUUUUGAAUUUUUUAUAUAACGACGACUGAAAAACCACGUCGGUGUUAAGAAAUUAAAGACGUUGUAAAUUAUAUAAACCGACUUACAUAUUAAAAUGACGUCGUUUAAAGCGUAAACCAUGUCGUAUGUUUUUCUGUACGACGUAAAAUAUGUAUUCCACGACGCAACCACCGUCGUUAAAAAUUAAUACCCUAAACCCAUAAAACUAAAUUAUACAAUUUAAAAAAUUAAGUUUAUAAAAGGUUUUAUGGUUUUAAAGCCUAACAUAUACCCUAGACUACCCAAAAAUUAUACUUUAAAAAUAAACCCCAAUAAAUAACAACCCUAAUCUCUAAACCCUAGACUCUAAACCCUAAACCAUAAAACUAGAAGUGAUUUUAUGACUCAUAAAAACAAUUUUGUUUUGGAUGGUCAUUUUAAAUUUUUGUUAUUCAAAAUGAAUUUUUUCAAGGUUUAUGUGGAAGAAAAUAUAUCAAUGACUUCAUAGGAGUUGACUUUUCAAUUUUCUGAUUUAUUUUAAAUUUAUUUUGAAUAUUUUGAUAUAAAAAUAAUAAAAUAUUCUUACCACAACAAUAAACCACGUCGGUGUUAAUAAAUUGUAGACGUUGUAAAUUGUAAUAGACUACUAAGUCGUUAAAAUGACGUCGUUAAAAUGAGAAACCAUGGCGGCUAUUUAACUAUACGACGUAAAAUAUAUAUUCCACGACUUAACCGCUGUCGUUACAUAAACGUCGUCGAUGAUACCCUGAACCCUUAAGAAAUUGAAGAUGUUGUAAACCAUAAACGACUCAAUUGUUCAAAGAACGUCGUCUAACUAUAUUUUUACGUCGUAUUUGUUUAAAACACGAAACAACAAAAUACGACGGUUUUUGACUUUAUUAGGUCGUUGGAAAAGUAUUACACGUCGGUUAAGCAAUUUGUAUGUUUGUUUUUUUUUUAAUUUAAGAAAACCUCAACAAAUUUUUACAUUACAUAUUAUAGAGAAAAUUUGUACAUUAUACAUAAAUAUCAAGUGUUCAAUAAUUGCCCUGUUUAAUAAUUUGGAAAACAAACUCUGCCCAUUCAUUCCGGACUUCAUCAAUGGCUUCUUGGGGGUAUGAAGCUUCCUGGUUUCCCUUGGCAUACUGCAUAAACAAUGACUAUUAGGGUUUAUAAAUAAAAAGAAAUUCAAUCACAGACGACGAUAUUUUUCAUAACCGACGUAGUAUAUCCAUUCAACGACGUUAAUUUUACAUGACCGUCGUUGAUAAUACAAAAAACGACGUGAAAUGUAUGAAGGUAAUUUCUUCUUACCUUAUUCUCAAACCCCAAGGAAGGAUCCAUGAUGAUGUCCCUCAUGAAGCGCAUCACAUAAUACCCGCAUUCGACAUUGCUGGGUUGCUUUGGUGUGCCUGAGAGAGUUUUCCAAAUUACAUUUUUACGUCCUGCUCGGCCUAUGUGGGUAUUAUAUAUUUUUAAAGCACUGUUCACGAUGUUUUUCGCCUCUUCGUCGACCACACGAUGACCUGGCAGAGGAUCCAGAAAAUAGACGGUCUCCUUCUUUGCUCUUACAAUCAGCAAGAUCCAAUGACGGCUGCACAAAAUUAAUAUAAAAACGACGGUUAUUUACAAAAACGACGUAUUAUAGUAUUUCACACGACGAAAUAAAGUAGAUAACGACGACAUUAUAUAUUUAUCACGACGAUAAAUAAAUACCGACGUGGUUAGUAGUUUCAAACGACUAAAUAAAAUAAAACACCGACGUGGUUAGUUUAUAAGCUGUCAUUUAUUGAAAAUCAUAAAAACAAAAUCCUAAGGAGACUAACCCUGGAUUGUAAGGCAUCAUGAAAAUCUGUUCACCGUCUGUCUUCUGAAGUCGAGCUGCUACCAGUCGUGAUCUUUCAGUUAUUGUGCCAGAGUUGGCACUAACUGUAGCAGGGUCGAUAAAGCUAACCAUGCUGCACAUAUUGGCUUGUUUCAAAACAUCGUGUAAGUACCUAAAUACAUAAAAUAAUAUAAACAAGUCAGCACAAACAAACACGACGGUUAUGUAUAAAAAAACGACGUAUUAUAAUAUUUCACACGACGUACUGAAAUAGAUGAGGACGUUAUAAUAUAUUUAUCACGACGGUAGUUAGUUAAGACGACGUGGUUAGUUAGUUAAGACGACGCAAUAUAUAAACCAACGAGGUAUUAUUUUAGAAGUACAAACCUCAUAUAUACAGCCAAUACAGUAGCUCCAAUUUCUUCCAUGCCUGCAAAUUGUGUAAUAUCUUCAGGCAGGAGGAAGGUAUCGUGCUCACCACCAAACACCUCCUUAUCAAUUGUAAAUUGGAGUGUCUUAUCCUCAGGCAGGAGUGUCGUUUCCACAAAAUGACAAAGGGUUUUUAAAGAAGAUGGCGCCUCCAUAUUUGAAUAAGCACCAACUUCAAUAACCUGUUUAAAGAAAUAAAAAAAAUGACGUGGUAAUUCAAUAAAGACGACGGUUUAAGGAAUAAAACGUCGUCUUAAAAGUAUUUAAACGACGGUGAAAAAACUGUCGUGGUAAUUCAAUAAAGACGACGGUUUUAUGAAUAAAGCGUCGUCUGAAACCAUUUAAACGACGGUGCAAAAACCGUCGUUUAAAUAUUUUAUUACGUCUUAAAAAAAGUCCGCCGUCUAAGUUUUAAACAAACGACGGAUUAAAUAAAAAUAUCGACGUCUGAAAUUUUGAAAAACAAAUAAAAAAAGGCAAAGUUAUGUGAACAUACCUUGUCGUCAUGCUUUUCUUCAUCUUCUUUCUCCUUUUCUUAUUCCUUCUCUUCAUCUCUUUUUUCUUCUUCCUUCUCUUCAUCUGGCUGAUGUUUCCCCAUUUUGGCAGUAUCAUCCUCCAAAUGUAGGGAUCUCACAUCACCUCCAGAGCAGCUAGCUUUGUCAGACAUUGGAUUUUUGGGGCUUUGGCUAAUUCUUGGUUUAAGCAUGCUUGGAUCAAAAUUGGGAAUUAAUUGGGAAAGCUGACUCAGGAAAUGCUCCCUCUCAGCCUCUACCAAUUGUUUUGUCCUAGCCUCCAUCCUUAAGGCUUCUUCCCUUGCCUUAGCCUCCAUCUUUUUAGUCUCUUCUUGAAGGAGAACUCUUAAACUGUCCUUCAAACGGUCGUCAAAGCUCACCCUCUGUGGUUUGGGCAAAUUGAAAUAUUGCCUUGGGGAAACACCAGCACCAACUCUCCUCACUCUGCCUGGAUGCUCGGGGCCCAAAGCCAUGGUCAGCACAUCAUUGCUGCCAUCUACUCUGACUUUGCCUUCCGAGACUUGUUUCUGCAAUUCAUCCUAAAACAAAGAUAAACAAAAAAACACACGACGGUUAUUUAUUUACAAACGACGUAUUAUAUAAUUUCACACGACGCAAUAACGUAUAAACCGACGUUAUUAUAACUUAUCACGACGGUAGUUAUACCGACGUGGUUAUUUAUUUAAAACGACGAAAUGAAUAAACAACCGACGUCUUAUGCUAUAAUUAAAGAAAACAGAGUAGUGAUUCCUAUUUAGACCGUUAACGACGUUUUUAAAAAAGUUUCGACGUGGUAAUAUCAUUCAAACGACGCGAAAAUGAACCACCGACGUCUUAUGCUAUAAUUACAGAAAAUUAGUAGUGAUUCCUAUUUAGACCUUUAACGACGUUUUUAAAAACUUUUCGACGUGGUAAUAUCAUUCACACGACGAAAAAUAUAACAUACGACGUAAUAAGAAUAAUUCACAGUUUAAUAAAAAUUUAAAACAGAGUGAUAGUAGGCUUACAAUUAAUUUUGCUUUCUCUGCCACCUUUGGAUCAGGGAUGUUACCAUGUUUGUCCUGUCUAGCUCUCUUCCAUAAGGUAGAUCGAUCAAUUUCUACCCCAGGCAUGGUUUCCUCCAAUUGAUCCUCCAAUCCAGCAUAUCCUUUUCGAGACAAUCGAUGAUUGUACUCGAGUUUCUUCCUAAUCUGUGCAUGUUGAGAAUGCACAGACUCAAAAUCUUUGGAUAGCCUUGAAGCUACAAAGGCAUCCCAUUGUGCUUUCUCUAUGAAUUUAUAUGUUUCAGGGGGUUGGCUUAAUUUCUCCCUGUCAUUGGUGUAUGGAAGGAUAUAAUGCCUCGUUAGUGUAGACUUGAAAUCCUUCCAUUUCUGGAAGCAGAAGCUAAAACAGAGGUCUUGCCCCCUUGGCCUACGACAAAAGCCAUGUCAACUGCUUCCCAAAUCUGCUCCUUUAUAUCCUUGGGGAUUUGGGACCAUUUCUUGUCCACAAGUGGGAUCCUGGAGCGUGCCAACACACCAAUAUACGACUGCAUCUCAAUAUGUGCUUGGCCAACACCUUUCCCCCUUUUAUUGUACUCAACAAUUGGCCUCAGUUUCUGAAGCUUUCUCUUCACAACACGAGGCAUUGUGCUCAUACCUCGACCAGUCUUUGAAUCAUCAGAGAUUGUUGUCUGGCUGGUUGGUUCUGUCUCAGCAGAUGAUGAAGCAAACUUCAUCUUCUUCGAAGACUUCAUCUCCUUCGAAGACUUGUCUUGAGGAGCUACCAUUCCAAGCUUCUUGGAGCCAGAAUCCUUAGUUUGUUGUUGAGAAACCAUUUUAACAGACAAAACUGCAAGUGAAAAUAUUUCAGGAAAACAUUAAGAACACAAACGACGGUAUUAAAAAAAUACGACGUAUGAUAUGAUUUUAGACGACGCAAUGAAAUAAUCUCAGACGUAAUAAAUGUUUAAAACCAUUAUUUAUAUAACGUCGUGGUAUAUAUGUUCACACGACGUCAAUAGUAAUACACCGUCGUGGUAAACUAUUAUUUAUAUAACGUCGUGGUAUUUAUGUUCAUACGACGUUAAUAGUAAUACACCGUCGUGGUAUUAACAUUCACACGACGUAAAACAAUAAGAUAUUUUGUCGUCUAUAUUAGAUACCAACCCUAGUUUCUUUUUCUUUAUAUUUUAUCAAAUAAGGGAAAAACAAAAACCAUUGUUCAGAGAAAUCAAACCUGCAAUUAAACAAGCAUAUAAAAAAAGACUAUUAUUUUAAAAACAACUUUGUCAAUUUUCAGACGACGCUAGAACAACUGACGAACCGUCGUGGUCUACCGUCGUCUUAUUUAGUUGAGGUAGUUGUCUUCAAAGUUGGAAACUUUCCCUCUUUGUCUGUAUAUUUUAUCAAAUUUGGAAAGAAGUACAAUGAUUUUGGCCAGAAAAAAGGUAAAAAGAUUUUUCAAACAAAAAACGUAUGAGCAUGCAAAACAGUAACCAAAAUAGUGAAAAUGAAAGCUUACCUUUUGCGUGCAAUGAAAGCAAGAGGAAGAUGAUCGAUGUUUAAGUUCAAGGACGACGAAGAAGACGAGAGGAAGACGAUGAGAAACUCUGACAAUGCUCUGACAAGGAAAAAAGACGAAAAGGUUUCUCUGGAGAUUGAAAUUUUUAAUCGGGUUUGGAAACAGUGCAUGUGUAAGUUCAAAAGUUGCUUACAUAUAAAACCAUUUCAAAAAAAUAAUACGGCGGUUACAUUUAACUACGUCGUUUUUAACUAACACGACGAAAUAUUUUUCGUUCGACGUGGAAUCAUUUCAUUUAACGUCGUUAGGUUUAAUAUAACCGACGUGGAUUUUAAUUUUUAAAUUAUGAAUAUAAUUUUUUUUCCCGUGACCUUUCAGUUUAUUUUUCAAUUACAGUGCGUUAUAAAUAGAGUUCUUUUUCCAGAGGAAAUUUAAAACGAAGGAAAUUAAUAUUCUGCAAUAUGUAAAGUUUCUUUUUUGGAUGACAGAUUUAAAUAAAAUAAGAAUAUAAAAAUAACUAAUGUGUAAGUCAAGUAGACGAAAAGUUGCUUACAUAUAAAAUCAUUUCAAAAAAAUAAUACGGCGGGUACAUAUAACUACGACGUAUAAAGUACAAAAUACGACGGUAAAUUUAACUUCGGACGUGGUAAAUAAAUACGACAGUAGUGUUGUAGGUACCGUCGUAGUAAACUCAAAAAUUAAAGUACAUAAGUAAUAACUCGCGUCAUGGUAGAUUAUUUAAGACGUCGUGAUUAUUAAUGUACCGACGUGGAGUUCUGUAAUAUACGUCAGUAAUACCGACGUUGAUUUUACAAUUUAAACGGCGGUUUUUUGGUAAGGACCGCCGUUGGUUUUAAAAAUUUAUUCUAUAAAUUUGUCGCUUUCAUUCAUUUUCGCGGUUUACAUUUAGGGUUCCAAGUUCUUCCUCUCUCAGAGACACUGUCUCUCACAUCUCAAAGACAAUAAUUUGGAGGUCUUUCUCAAAGAGAAAUUGAGCUUACAUUUAGGCUAGUUGACAAGAAGAAGCUUGUCAACUAGCCUUCUCACUUCCUUGAUCAAGCCUGAUAGGACACUUAGUGCUUCUGAAUACUCCUUGCUUUCCAUCAAAAGAGAUGCAAGCCUGGCCUCCACUCGUUGUCGAAGGAAAGUUCGCUUCUCAGGGAAAUCUGAAAAUCAGAUGUGCUUGAUCCUCUGCUUGAUUUUUUUGACUAAGAAGAUCCGUCAGAUUUAAGCAUGAGCAAUCGAAUCCGUAGAGCUUCAGAAGAAGAAGAAGACAUUGUCAAUGCUUUGAACUAUACAAGUCUGCAGAAAGAUAAAGGACCAAACUGUUAAAGAAACUGAAACAACGGCGGUUUUCUGUUCUACCGUCGUCUUUUCUCGUCGUCUAUAUUAAGGUAAGAUGGCGGUAGAUUUAUAAUUACCGACGUAGAUUAUUUUGUUAAACGUCGUUAAGUGUACUACAACCGACGUGGAUUUUAUUUUUAAAUUAUAAAUAGAGUUUUUUUUCCAGACUUCUUUCAGUUUUAGUUUUCAAUUACAAAGCGUGAUAAAUAGAUUUUUCUUUCCCGAGGAAAUUUAAAAUGAGGGAAAUUAAUGUUCUAGAAUUUGUAAACUAACACGACGCAAUAUUACUAACCCGAGGAAAUUAUAAAUAGAUUUUGCUUUCCUGAAGAAAUUUUAAAUUAAUUCAGUUUGAAACAAAACGACGGUUUUUUGUUAUGCCGUCGUUUUUAACUAACACGACAGAUUUAAAUAAAAUAAGAAUAUAAAAACAACGACUGUUUUUUUACUACUGUCGUCGUUUUUCGUCGUCUUAAGUAAGACUAAGACGACGUAAUAUAUUUGUUGAGCGACGUUGAUUUGUUUUUAAACGUCGUUAGGUAUAAUAUAACCGUCGUUGAAAAUUGUCUCUCUGAUUGCAAAUUUGCAACGACGUUGAUCAACUUCCAAAAAAUUGUCUCUCUGAUUGCAAAUCUGUGUCAUCUGUUAAGAUUAUUUUGUAUUUUAAAGCCGUGGAUUUGUUUGUAAUUAUACGGCGUCUUAUACGAAAACCUCGUCGUGUUAUUUUAUGAGUAAAAACGGCGGCUUUUAUUGAAAUCGUCGUCUUUACUUUCUACGUCGGUCUAUUCAUAACUUCUGCCGUUCUUUGUUUGCUUUGAUUUUACAUUGCGGAAAUCUGUUUCAAAUAGACGUCGGUUGUUUAAUUAGGUACGUCGUUGUUUUUGAACAGCCAUUUGAAUCUCCAUUUUUUAGUUGUCUAAGGUGGUAUUACACGACGGUGUUUUUAGAACCGUCGUCUUUUUAAAAACCACGACGGUUUUCACUUAGACCGUCAUUGUUUUCUGGUCGUCUUUUUCACUUUUUGUAGUAGUGUGGAAAACCAACUAGACCUAAAGAUAAAAGUUGUAAGGCCUGACAGAGGAGGAGAGUUCUAUGGGAGAUUCGAUGAGCUUGGAGGAAUCUUGGUCCUUUUGCAAGGUUUCUAUAGCAAGAAGGAAUCAUUGCUCAAUACACUAAUCCAUAGACUCCACAGCAAAAUCGAAUUGCAUAGAGGAGAAACAGAACUCUAAAGGAUAUGAUAAGAAGCAUGAUGUGAUGCACAAACUUACCAAUUUUUCUGUGGGGAGAAGCUUUGAACACAUCAAAUCACAUACUCAAUCGAGUACCAAACAAGGGUAUCAACAAUAUCCCUUAUGAAGUUUGGAAUAAGAAAAAAUUACGCUUGAAACAUUUGAAAACAUAGGGCUGCAAGAUAGAGGCAAAGCUUUAUAACCCUAUGGAAAAGAAGCUGGAUUCGAGAACUGUAAGUGGUUAUUUCAUAGGAUAUCUAGAUAGAACUAAAGGAUACAGAUUCUAUUGUCCUAAAAACACUACCAGAUUUGUAGAAACUCAGAGGGCAAUGUUUAUAGAAUCUGAAGGUGAGACAAUCGAAGAUGAAAAUUUUGAGUUUGAUGAAGAUAUUGCAGAAACUGGGGAAACAAUACAAACUGACAUUUUGGUGUUACUAAGUUUUGACUUGAAUGGCAAACAAAACAACCAAGAAGGGCAAACUGGUACAGACCCUAUGGUCACUGAAGAAGAAACUCAAGAAAAUCAAGUUUUACUACCCGAAAAUCAAGAUGUAGUUCAAACACAAGAAGGAACUAAUAAUCAGACAAAUGCAGGACUAAGAAGGUCAGAAAGACCAAAGAAACGUGCUUUACAUAAUGAUUAUGUUUACCUUCAAGACUCAGAGCAUAAUGUGAAUGACAUUGAGGAUCCUAUGAACUUCAAGCAAGCAAUGAUGAGUAACAAAAAUGAAAAUUGGUGGGCUGUUUUGAAAUCAUAAUUAGGUUCCAUGGAAAAUAAUGGAGUUUGGGAGCUUGUGCCUUUACCAUAAGGGAGCAAACCAAUUGGCUACAAGUGAGUGUUCAAAACCAAGAGAAAUUCGAAGGGGUGGAUAAAUAGAUAUAAGGCUAGAUUGGUUACUAAGGGGUUCACACAGAAAGAAUGAAUUAAUUUCAAUGAGACCUAUUCACUUGUCAUAACAAAAGACUCCUUGCAAGUGAUCAUGGCACUAGUAGCUCAUUUUGAUUUACACUUGCCUCAAAUAGAUGUUAAGACUACAUUCUUGAAUGGAAACUUGGAGGAAGAAAUUUAUAUGCAACAACCAGAAGGUUUCAUUCAAGAGAAUGGAGAAAAUCUGGUUUGCAAGUUGUGUAAAUCAAUCUAUAGUCUAAAACAAGCAUCUAGAGAGUGGUAUAAGAUUCAAUGAAGUUGUUAAACUAUAUGGUUUUACAGAGAAUGUCUUAGAUAAGUGCAUUUACAUGAAGAUGAGUAGGAGUCACUUCAUAAUUCUGAUUCUUUAUGUAGAUGACAUUCUGCUAGCUUGCACCAACAUGUCCAUGUUACACGAUUGCAAGGCAUUCCUGGCUAAACAUUUCGACAAUGACAGAUUUGGGAGAAGCCUCAUACAUUUUAGGAAUCGAAAUUAGCAGAAAUAGAAAGAGAGGUUUGUUGGGACUAUCAUAGAAAACUUAUAUAGAAAAGAUACUCAAAAGGUUUAACAUGCAAGGCUGUGCAAGGUCAGAUGUGCCUAUUUCGAAGGGAGAUAAAUUUAGUACUAAUCAAGCACCAAAGACUGAUCAAGGAAAGCUUGAGAUGGCAGAUAAACCUUAUGCAUCAUUAGUGGGGAGUCUCAUGUGUGCACAAGUAUGCACAAGACCUGAUAUUACUUUUAUAGUAAGUGUAUUGGGAAGAUUUUAGUCAAAUCCUGGACAAGCAUAUUGGAUUGCUGGUAAAAGAGUCAUGAGAUAUUUGCAGAGAACAAAAGACUAUAAGUUGGUUUACAAAAGAAGUGACAGACUGGAAGUAGAAGGUUAUGCUGAUGCAGAUUUUGCAAGUUGCAAAGAUGACUUGAAAUCUACAUUAGGAUAUGUUUUCCUAUUUGAGCAGCAAUAUCAUGGAGAAGUAACAAGCAACCACUCACAAUUGCAUUGACUAUAUUGGCAGAAUUUCUGGCUUGUUAUGAAGUAACCACUCAAGCUAUGUGAUUAAAGAACUUUAUCACUAGUUUGGGUGUGGUUGAAUCAAUUCAACAACCUAUACAUCUUUGGAAUAAUAACAGUGCAAGAGUACUUUUUGCAAAAGGGAAUAAAAGAACAAAGGCAUCAAGAAUUCUGGAAGUUAAAUUCUUUGCUGUCAAAGAAAAGACUAGAGAUGGGCAUACUGUGUUGGAGCACAUUGGCACAAAUGAAAUGGUUGCAGAUCCACUUACUAAGGGGUUACCAAAUGUUGUUUUUCACAGACAUGUGAUUAGCUUGGGAUUGACAGUUCAUUUGGAUGACUAAAACAAUGGGAGUUUUAUCAAGUUCUGGUAGUUUAACUAGUUUUGCUAUUUUCUAUUUAAAUUCAUAGAGUGGUGUUUUAAUUUGGAUGAUUUUCAGUUUAAGGAUUCGAAUAUAGUAUAUUUAUGCAAUGUAGUUUAUAUGCACAUGUGAUUACUUGAAUAUGUGUGGGUGGCAUAGCAUGCAUUUAAGCUAGCCAUGAGAAGAUUGUAUUCAUGACAGUUUGUAAUUUUUGUUAUGCAAAUUGAGACCUUGUUAGUCAUUUAUAGGGACAAAGGAAUUAGAUGACUUUUGUUUAAAGCACUUUCAGUAAGGUCAUCUACAUUCUAAAGUUUUAAUCUUGAUCGAAGCCUUAUGUGGUGUUGAAGAGUUUUAAGUGUGAAUAUAAAGACUUUGAUAACUGUAUGAUCAAUAAGUCUCUUAUAAUUUUUCUUCAUUAACAACUUAGUGGGAAUUUUAUCUGGAUAUACUUUCACAAGGCCUUAAAGUGAUCAAUACGAGUUUUCCUUAGCGAUUAUUUAACCAAGUGGGAGACUGUAAGACAAAUCCGUGUCUUAGUCUAAAUUGUGGUCUUCUAAUCAUAUCUGGUUUGGAGGAGCUCUAAUUGAUCAGGAAGUAUUAAUCCUAAUACAAGUAGGAUACUCAAUCAAACAGUGCGUUUACAUUGAGAUAGGAGUAUCUUAAGGAUUCCUAAUUCUAUAUGGAUUAAAACAUCCAAUUCCUAAGUAAACAAAAUCUGUUUGAGUACUCCUUGAUGGGUAAGGUACCGGAACAGAUGCUUAUAAAUAAGGUCCCUUUUGUAUCGGCUAAAAUACACUCAUAACAGAAAACUCACCCCAUCCAGAGAUAGAGAUAAAGAGCCGAGUUGGAGAAGAAGAUUCUUAUUCACAAUGUCUGAUCAAGGUUAGUAUUUGAGAUUCAAAGACAUGAUAACUUAUAGUAUAUAUGGGUUGUUAAGAUUUUAUCCAGAGAUUCAAAGAAAGCUUUUUUCUUUUUAUUAAACCCUUUUCAUCUUUUUCAAUGGUGCACAGUGCAAUAUCCGAGUGGGGAAAUUGGGAAAUUAAAGGAUGAAAAAUAAUAAUUGGGGCAUGCCAAAUUGGCAAAUGCGUAAAGGAGAUGAAGCCUAUCAAAAACAUCAUUUGUUGGCAAUGGAAACUGCAGGAUGAUUGGAAGUUAAGCCAUCUAAAAUCUCCAUCAGUAUCUCUCACUCACUCAUCUUUUGGGACAGAUUCCAGCUUUCUUCCACCACCCACUACAACCUCUCUGUCUACCCCACACCCAAGCAAGAUUCCAAUUAAUCAUCUUCGCUCUCUGAUAAAAGAUUCCUGCUGUUAAUUUAUUCGCACCAGAAAUUAGGGAUGGCCCAUUCACAAUCAAACAAACACAAGAUAACUUUGCUGGACCGCUCAUUUUCUUUAAUUCUACUAAGGCAAUUACAUUAUUGUGACAACGAUUGUCUUAAUCUCAAAUAUCUUCAAGUACAGAAAUGAUAAGUAUUUAGUCUGGAUCAUAAGAAUAUAGUGGUAAAUACAAUUAGUUUCUACCUCAACCUUUUUGAGGCAUUUCGACGAACUGUUUAAGGAAAAUAUCAAUAGAUAACUGAAUUGAUGAGCCAGAUUAAGAACAUAGAUGUCCGAGUGCAGAAUAUAGUAAUUUAUAAACAAAUGAAAAUAGUAUUUUUCCAGUAAUAAUUUUUGAAAAGAACUAAUGAUAGAGACCAAUUGUUUAAAUUAAACAACACUUUGUUUUCUUGUAAUACUUUCAAUUAGUUGGAUGAUUGGUGUGGUCUUCGUGGACUCAGUUGUUAGUUGGAUAAUUAGUUAAACGACUAUAAUUAGAUGUUUUAAAUAGCUUUCAAUUGUCUAAUAUUUCAUAAAAAUCAACUGUAAAUUACGACUCAGAUGGUUGAAAUACAAUUUACUUCAAAAUAACAAAUUAUUCAACGUGUUGAGAAUGUUGUAUAUGGAGUCUACAUAGACUUGACUAGUUGGGUGUUAGGCAAUUAUGAAUUGAAAAUAUUUGUCAUCAGUAAAUGCUUGGAAAUUAAUGCCAUGUUUGGUAUGUCUCAUUAUGUCUUAUUGGACUGGACUGUGUUGUAUAGUACUUGAAAUCCAUAUUUGAUAAUGGAGGGGAUUAACUUAAAUGGGAUUAUAUAGUUCAUCAGUGUAAAAAAGCUCCGGACUCACUUGUCUAAUAUAGCAAUGCUGAAAUGUGGUUCGUAAAUUAGCGAGAACGCUAUUUUGAGCAUGCAGUCCAACCCUUGGCUUGAAUUACAACUUUUUUUUUAAUGAAAUAGGAAGGAAAAAAAAAACACGAUAACAAAAAGAAAAGAGAGAGAGAGAGAGAGAGAGAGAGAGAGAGAGAGAGAGAGAAAUGCUAGGAAAAAAAAUAAAAACAGAAAAAGAGAGAGAAAUUAAUAAAAUAAUUAUUUUUUAGUCCGACACAGAAUCAAACAUAGGUCUUCACUAUUUUUACAAUUCAACUAUUUAAUCCGACGUAACACCAAAAGUAGCUCAAUAUUUAAUCCAGCUUACGCCAAACGAACCCUAAGCCCGAUAACCCCAGUUGACAUCGUCCCUGUCUCCAAUUAGCCUAUAUAAGGCCAAGGGUAUGCUUACAUUACAGCAGCAACUCAAUAAUCUAGAGGUAAUCUUGUUAAUUAUUCAUGGAAACUCCCAUUAUUUUUAGCUCCUCCUUCCUUAGGUUUUUCAUGGGUUUCUUCUCUGUACUUCUAUGCCUAAUUCUCUGCUCUUUCGAGAACGGAUUUGCUUCGGCAGCAAGAGAUACAAAACCCCACCUUCUGCCACAUACCACUCACACAGUUGAAGUAAACUCUCUUCUACCAGCAACCACCUGCAGCCCCUCCACCAAAGGUUAAUUCAUCCCAUAUUAUAUAUAUAUAUAUAUAUAAAACUUAAUUUCAAUGCAUUUAUGUAUCUCUAACACACACUCUCUCUCUCUAUGCAUACAUGUUUCGAUGAUCUCAGGUCAUAACAAUAACAAGGCAUCAUCGGUAUUGAAAGUGGUGCACAAACAUGGGCCAUGCUCCAAAUUCCACAAAUCAUCAAAAACUUCAACCACAACUAGUGAUGAAAAAUACCAUGCUCAAAUCCUCAAGCAAGACCAAGCCCGAGUCAACUCCAUCCACUCCCGCCUCAACCACAACAACAACAGCAGAAUCAAAGACCCACUCACCCAAUCCGCUGCUACCACCCUCCCCGCCAAGUCCGGUAUUGUUAUCGGCUCACCGAACUACAUUGUCACCGUCGGCCUCGGUACACCCGCCAAGCAACUCUCCCUCGUCUUCGACACUGGCAGCGACCUCACCUGGACCCAAUGCAAGGCAUGUUCUGCUACUCAGUCUUGUUACAAUCAGACUGAGCCCAUCUUCGACCCUUCUCUCUCCGCCUCAUACAAAAAUAUCUCAUGUACCACCGCCGCGUGUACUCAGCUCUCAUCCUCCGGCAUCGAACACCGCUGCUCCGCCUCCACCUCCGCCUGCCUCUACGCCGCCGGGUACGGAGACAUGUCCUUCACUAUCGGGGUCUUUGGCAGCGAAAAGCUUACAUUGACCCCCACGGACGUUUUUGAAGGUUUCCUCUUCGGCUGCGGCCUAGAUAACGAAGGCCUUUUCAGCGGAUCCGCCGGUUUGCUCGGUCUCGGCCGGAGCAGCACCUCCCUCGUCGAACAAACCGCCAAUAAAUACAACCGGUUCUUCUCCUACUGCCUCCCGUCUACUUCCAGCUCCACCGGUCACCUCACCUUCGGAGACGGAGGCUCCGCUAACGGCGUUAAGUUCACGAAGCUCAUCACGUCAUCCCAAAGCGAGUCGUUUUACGGCCUCGGCCUCGCCGGCAUCAAAGUCGGUGGGAGCCAGCUGUCGAUUGAGCCCUCAGUCUUUUCGUCUUCUGGAACGAUCAUCGACUCGGGGACUGUGAUCACGCGGUUGCCGGCGACGGCAUACGCGGCGUUGCGGGGCGCGUUUCGGGAGGCGAUGAAGAACUACACGCUGACUGAGUCGUUUUUGUUGCUGGACACGUGUUACGAUUUCAGCGGCUUGAACACGGUGACGUAUCCGAAGAUAGCGUUUAUGUUUGGGGAUGGACUUACGGUGGACUCGGACGCGACCGGGAUAUUGCUUCUGAUAAGUCCUUCGCAGGUUUGCUUGGCGUUUGCCGGAAACGAGGAUGAUAGUGACUUUGGGAUUAUUGGGAAUGUUCAACAGAAGAGGUUGGAGGUUGUGUAUGACGUCGCUGGAGGAAAAGUCGGAUUUGCCCCUGAAGGUUGCCCUUGAGUAAGGGAAAUACCCAUGUAGUUCUUAUUUUCUAGAUACUGGCCCCUGGCACAUGCAUGAUCUUGUGUCAAUUGGUUUUCUUUUAAAUAUAUAUUGUUUUUAGAAUUAAGAAAAGGUAAUAUAAAUAGUUAUGUUCUAUAAAAGUAGAAUCUAUUAUCUGAUUUUAUUUUAAUAUGAAUUUAUCAUAUUAUCCUUAUUUAAUUAAUAAUUUCAAUUUUUAAUGUUUGUAUUAAUUAAGGGCAUUUUUUGGUAUUUUAAAUAAUUUACCAUUCUCUGCAUUGCUUUAUAUAUAUAGAUAAUUUAACUAUUUCUAAAUAUUUAAGAUAAACCCAAAUUCGAAAUUUGCUGUCAUUUAAGAUAAUAUUUGUCCUAGUAUUAUCAAUUAAAUUACAAUAUGUGCCAUUAACCUUCGUUUGUUUGCAACUGUACAUUGAUUCUUUUCCUAAUAAACACUGUAUAGUCUCUUGGAUGCAUGAUCCCUUCCUUGCCGUAAAUUUGUAUUGAUUUCAUAAAAAGUAAUAAUCAAAAUAAUUGAUGUACUGAUUGGAAUUUGUUUUUAUUAUAUAUAAAUGGCACGUAUAUUAUUUUUACAAUGUGCCUACAAUGGUGCUCAUUUUUAAAUAAAAAUAAUUUACCUGUAUGACAUGUACUUAUAUUGUACCUUAUUAUCUUUUAUUGAUAAUAGGAACAUUAUGUAUUUUAAAAAGAGGUACGUUAUCUUAUAUUGAUAAUGUCAAUUUAUCUAUUAUCUCUUAUUGAUAAUAAUUUGGGAGAUUUUGGAAAAGCCCAAAGGAGAGAGAAAAUUUUUAAAAGAAGCCGAAAUGGACAAAAUUGCCCUUAUUUAUUUUUUGAUUUCUUAAGGAAUCUUUUACAUUUGCAUGUCUUUGGUUUGAAAGUUGAGAGGUUUUUCUGUCUUUUUUGAAAAAGCUUUGGCUUUUUUCAAAAGUGAAAAUUUUUUUAUGGGUAAAACCUAAAUUUACUUAAUAAAUAAUUUACCUAUUAUCUUGUACUAGCCUCUUUGCGUGCGCUUCUGCGCUUGCGAGAGGAUUUUUUUUAAAAAAAAUUUAUUUUAGAAUUAAAAAAGAUAAUUGGUAGUUGUGUUUCAUAAAAAUAGGAUCCAUUAUUUGAAUUUUCUUUUAAUUUUAUUUUUUUAAUAUGAAAAAGUGUGAAUUUACUAUAAUAUCCUCAUUUAAUUAAUAAUUUCAAUUCUUAAUAUUUGCAUUAACCAAUGGCAUUUUUUGGCAUUUUGAAUGUUUUAACAUUCUCUGCCUUUUGCUUUAUAUAUAUAGAUGAUAAUAGGUAAAUUAUUUUUAUAAAAUAUUUGGUACAUUAUUUUCAAAAAUGCGUUAAAUGAGUUGGGUAUAUUAUUUAAAUCAUAAGUAAAUCAUAAUAAAAAAAUGAUGCAUAAAGAGUAUUGAAUUGCAGUUACCAAAAAAACAAGUACUGAAUUGCAGGCUAAUUCCAGGUACUAAGACUUAAUACACCUACCAUAUAACAGGUUAAUUUGUAAAUAGGGGUAGUUUUGGAAUCUGAAAAAUAUAAUAAAUCAUAUUUUAAGUUAGAUUAGGUAACUUGCUUAGUUGGAUCUUAGUCAUAAGGUUUUAUUUGAAAAAAUUGGAUAUUUUAAAUAGAAAAAUAAAGAGAAGAACUACAGGUGAUUAAAAAUGAAUUUUAUGAGUCUAAGCUUAAUUUACUAUUCUUUUUUUAAUAUAACAUUUGUGUUUUAAAAAGCAAAAGGAAGACAAUAUGGUUUUUAUUUUUGUAUUGAAGUGAUAUUAUAAACUGAACCUAGAACUUUAGAUAUGGAAUAAAUAUUCUUAACAACUCGAAAAACAGCAGUUUGAAGAAAGAUUAGUGAACAUUCCAAAGUUUGGUGUACGGAUAUAGUUAAACUGAUUGUUUGAUCAGUUUAACUAUGGACUCUGUUGACUCAUUGACUUUGGGACCCAUGAGUAGUCGUGAGUCGUGACUAGGAAGGAACAGAAACGCAUGCAUGAUGCAUGCAGUACCUUCCUUCCAGACUCCGAGUCCACUUGGUAUUAAUUACACUAUUGACAUAUUGUAUGCAUAAUGUAUGUAUGUGUAUUGACAGAGAACCUUCUUACCUUCAUUUUCAUUUUUUGUCUUUUCCUUGAAAGAUAAUUAACAUAAGAGAACGGGUGGACAAAGUCGAUCGACCAAAAAAUGACAACAAAAAAAUUGUAACGGGUUAGGGCGGGGUUUGAGAACGAUGGUAUGGAGCAAAUGCUAGAAAAUUAAACCCUCCAAAUAGUUUAUAUAAGGCCAAUAGUAUGCUUAAACUUAAAUCUACAGCUAGCUAGGCUUGUUAACUAUAUUCAUUUCUAGCUCCUCCUCUUUCCUCAGGUUUUUUCAUGGGUUUCUUCUCUGUGUUUCUGUUCCUAAUUCUCUGCUCUUUCGAAAAGGCCAUUAUUGCUCUGGCAGCAACAAGUCCAGAACCCCACCUUCCGCCACACACUACUCACACAGUAGAAAUAAACUCUCUUCUACCAGCAACCACCUGCACCCCCUCCACCAAAGGUUAAUUCAUUUCAAACCCCAUUUUAAUUACGCUGUUAAUUCUCUCUCUCUCUCUCUCUCUCUCUCUCUCUCUCUCUCUCCCCCUAUAUAUAUAUAUAUAUAUAUAUAUAUUCAAUAUUCAUAUAUUGUCUGGCUAUAUACGCUGUUAAUUCCAAUGGCGCAUGGGAGUAGAGACUGUGAAAUUCCCUCUAAUAUUCAUAUGCAUAGAAAAACAUACACAUUUUUUUUUUAAGUUUAGCAUAUUAAACUUAUACACACUACACAAAUGCUAUGACUCAACUCUAGAACCUUCCAUAAAAAAGCUAUUAUUCUAAAUCACUACACUAGUUGAUCUUUUUUUUUUAAAAAAAAAAACACACAUAAAGAGCCCCGUGCUUGGCCAAAAAAAAAUCUAAACCAAAUUUACUCUUUUUUUUUAUUUAUAGUAAAUUGAGCUUAGACCAAUAAAAUUCAUUUUAAGUUACCUACAACCCUUUCCUUUAGUUUUCUAUUUAAAAUACCCAAUUUUUUCAAAUAAUACCCGAUGAUUAUGAUCCAACUAAGCAAGUUACCUAAAAUAACUUAAAAUUUGAUUUAUUGUAUUUUUCGGAUUCCAAAACUACCCAUAUUUAUAAGUUAAUAAGUUAUAGGGGGUGUAACUAAUGACACCCGUUGAAUUUAGAAAGAUCUCCAAAUAGUUAUAAUGGAUGUAGGAACUAAUUCAAAAAUUUAUUUGAAAUUAAAUAUUAAAUUCCACAUUGAAGUAUUAUUAAUCUAUUUUACGACUAGUAAUCUAUUUUUGAAUUAAUGGUGUUUUUCUUCUAUGAAUUACGACUAGUAAUCUAUUUAAAGUAUUAGUAAUUUAAAUUCAAUAUUAAAUUUAGGAAUUAAUGUUGUUUUCUUUUUAUGAAUUAUACGACCGGUAUUCUUUUUAUUAUAGUUUUAUGAAUAAUAGUGUACGUUCUAAUUAUAUUGAAAAAUAAUUUGAUAAUCUAUUUAUUGUUUUGUUUUUAAAAUAUUUUUUUUAAUGAACCUAUUUUUCUCCAAAUAUUGUACCUAUUUUUUUCUUUUUUAUUGUUUUAUGAAAAUAUAUUUGAUCAUAUUUUUAUUGUUUGUUUUAUGAAAAUAUUUUUUUUACAUGAGCCUAUUUUUUCUCUCAAAAUAAUGUAUCAAUUUUUUUUCCUCUAAUAAUGUACCUAGUAAAACAAUUUACCUAGUAUGAUGAACCUAUUUUUUCUGCUGAAUUUUGUAUCUAUUUUUUUCUAUAAAUAAUGUACCUAUUUUUUUUCUCUAAUAAUGUAUACCUGGUAAAACAAAUUUUCUAGUAUAAUGAACUUAUUUUUUUCUUCUAAAUAAUGUGCAUAUUUUUAAUUUAUAAAAAUGUGUAUAAAUUUCAAUUAUACAACGUACCUAUUUUCUAUAAAUUAUUGUGUACCUAUUUUUAAUUUAUGAAAAAUGUACGAAAAUUUCAAUUACGAAGUAACUGACCUAUUUUUGUCAAAUUUUUUCGGUAAAUAAUAUACCGAUAUUGUUAUAGGUAUAUAUUUAUAUUUAUAUUUUUCAUAUGUGCAUUAUUGGAUAUGUAAUUUACAUAUUAUUUUUUUUAUUUGCAAUUUUAAGGGGCCAUAUGCUAGAGAGAAUGGCAACCGAAAGAAAUGGGGUGAUUGAUAUGCUAUUAAUAGGGAGUUUUAAUUACAAUUAUGGCAGUUAAUGAAAGGCUUGGAAUAAAUUAUAAAUAAAAUAUGAAGUUUGAUGGCAAUGAUGUAAAAACAUAUGAAUACUACGACCUCUUAUAUCCUACUGGUCAUUUAAGUUUGAAAUUGCGUUUUACACAUAAAUUUAUAGAAUGAUGGGUAUAUGCCUGGAAAAAUAGAAUUUGUAGGGCAUAUAUAGUAACAAAGAAAAACAACAAAAUAACAUAGCCCCCGUGCCCCAUUACCUUUGUGUCUCUCUCACCCACAUGGCAUGCAUGGUCUUGUUACCCGUAAACUAGUGGCAGGCAUGCACAGAUGGAUAUAAUUGUGAAUAUAUGCAUAAAGAGUCACAUGUAUACAUACACUCAUCCCUUUCAAUGACCAGGUCAUACCAAUAACAAGGCAUCAAUAUUGGAAGUGGUACACAAGCAUGGGCCAUGCUCUAUAUUCCACAAAUCAUCCAAAACUUCAACCACAAAAAGUGAUGACAAAUACCACGCUCAAAUCCUCAAGCAAGACGAAGCCCGAGUCAACUCAAUCCACUCCCGCCUCAACUACAGAAUCCACGACCCAUUCACCCAAUCCUCCGCCUCCGCCACCCUCCCAGCCAAGUCCGGUCUCCUUCUGGGCUCACCGAACUACUUAGUCACCGUCGGUCUCGGCACACCCGCCAAGCAACUCUCUCUCGAAUUCGACACCGGCAGCGACCUCACCUGGACCCAAUGCCGCCCAUGUCUUCGAUAUUGUUACACACAGAGCGAGCCCAUCUUCGACCCUUCUCUCUCUGCCUCAUACAAAAACUUAUCCUGUACAUCCGCCACGUGUACUCAACUCUCAUCCGCCGGCAUCCCACACCGUUGCUCCUCCGCCUCGUCCUCCUGCCUUUACGGCAUCCGGUACGGUGACGGGUCCUUCUCCAUCGGGGAUUUCGCCAAAGAAAAGCUUACAUUGACCUCCAUGGACGUUUUUGAAGGUUUCCUCUUCGGCUGUGGCCAAGACAACCAAGGCCUUUUCAACGGCUCUGCCGGUUUGCUCGGUCUCGGCCGAAACAACAUCUCCCUCGUAGAACAAACCGCCAUGAAAUACAACCGCUUCUUCUCCUACUGCCUUCCGUCAACUUCCAGCUCCACCGGUCAUCUCACCUUCGGCAACGGAGGAGGCUCCGCUAACGGCGUCAAGUUCACCAAGCUCACCACGUUAUCCGAAAGAGAGUCGUCGUUUUAUGGCCUCGGCCUCACCGGCAUCAGCGUAGGCGGGUGCCAGCUGCCGGUUGCGUCCUCGGUCUUUUCGUCUUCGGGAACCAUCAUCGACUCGGGGACGGUGAUCACGAGGCUGCCGGCGACUGCAUACACGGCUUUGCGGGACGCGUUUCGGGAGGGUAUGAAAAACUACACGAUGACUAUGUCGUUUUCGCUGCUGGACACGUGUUACAAUGUCAGUGGCUACGAGACGGUGUCGUUUCCGGAUAUUGCGUUUGGAUUUGGGGACGGGGUUACGGUGGACUUGGACGCGGCCGGGAUAUUGUUGGCGGUAAGUGAUUCGCAGGUUUGUUUGGCGUUUGCGGGAAACAAGGAUGAUAGUGACAUUGGGAUUAUUGGGAAUGUUCAACAGAAGCGGUUGGAGGUGGUGUAUGACGUGGCUGGUGGAAAAGUCGGAUUUGCCCCUGCAAGUUGCCCCUGAGUAAUGAACAUCGUCCAUGGGGCAUAAUUGUAACACAAACUGCUAGCUAUAGAAUAAAGCAUUGUGUUCCAUAUUUUUCUGUAAUGGGAUUGUAUUGGGAAGUAUCCAAUUCUUACCUUUCCCCACUACUUGUAUAAAAUAGUCUAAUGACCAAUCAAGCGAUAGUAUUUUAUAUAAUAAUAAAAUAAUCGAAUGUAUUGGAAGGAAAAUUCCAACUCAAAUACAAAAAGGGGUUUAUUGCCCUAAUCAAUUCUCCUAACUCACGUAUGUUGUCGGUGUUUUGAAGUAAUGCCACGUGUUAAUGUGCUGUUUCUCUUUUGAAAUAGCAAAAGUAGAACACUAAUCUCCAUCUCCUAGUUUGGGCUUGUUUUGCUUUUGGACUCGACCAGGCCAACUUUAGCACAAAAUGUCUUAAGAAGGACCUAAAAGAAAAUAAAAAAAGAAAAGGUCAAUGAAUUGGGAAGGCUUUGGCUUGGGCUUGGGGUGGUUCAGCUUCAAAUUUUAACCAGUGCCUAGGGUUCAGUGUAUUGGUUUCAGCGGAAAGGCUCGUCAGUCUGCAGUCUGUGUCUUGGGCUGCCUAUCCUUAACUAACCACUUUCUGAUUGCUUUGUGUAUGGGCUUUUUUUUUUCGGCAGCUACAAAUGGGCUAGGCUGCUAUAAGGAGCGAAUUGAUAAAAUUAUCUCUUGUGUUUAAGUUCAAAGAUCAAGCCCCAAGAAUGCUUCUAAAGGAUAGUGAAGCCUUAAGAAACACUUUGGUUACCUUCACCAACAAAAAUAACAACAGCUUACAGAUAAAUUCUUAGCUUGGCAUGAGAAGCUUGUGGCAUGGGAGCUAAGCAUUCAUGAAUUUAGCAUGAGAGAGAGAAAUGAUUGAGAUUUCCUAUGAGAAAUAGAGUUUUUAAGGCAUGAGGGAAGGGAUUCUAAAAGGAUUUGUUGUGGAGAGAGAGGGGGAGAGAGAUGAGGGCAAUGGGUGGCUUAAGUGUUUUUCCACCAGCUUGACAGAGGCUCUGUCAAAUGUUAAAACAGUCUACCAAAAAAGGGAAAAUGGGAGAGAAUGAUGAAUAUAGCACGAAUUUGCUAGGUUUUGCAAGUGAGAGAGGAAGCUUGCUCUCUGGACGUGGUUGUGGCUAGUGGUGGAGUAUUGGGUGUUUUUGGUAGUUUUUCAGCAGCCUGACAAAAGCUUGCCAGAAGAGAAAAUAGAAGGAGAUGGAGGAAUAGGGCACGAAAUUGCAGAGUUUCAGAGAUGAGAGAUGAAGCUUGCUCUCUAGAUGUAGGUUGAGAUAAUUGGUAGGAAAUGCUUCUUUUUAUAGGCAUUAGAAGCUACUUUUUUUCAAGAAACCCUAAUAGUUUCUAUCCAAUUUGGCCAAGCUUUUUUCCUUCAUUUCUUCUCCAUUCCUUUGACUUAUCCUAUUUGGUGAAAUUCUCUCUGCCCAAUUGCACAAAAACAGAGAUUUUGGGAGCUCAAUGCUCUUCUCACAGCUGCCUCAGUAGAGAACUCCCAUUUUCAGCCAUCUUUCUUCCUUCUUUACUCCCCUCUUCUAUGGCUAGAUCUGAUGGGGGGGAAAGAAAUGGGUAUGUACACUGGUUUGAAGGGUGUUUUGCUCAAGUAUCCCUUGGUUUUUCUGAUGGCUUGCGUUGGAUUUGUCUUUGGCCAUGUGCUGGAGAUUCCCAGCAGCCUGCAAAUGUGAGUGGCUUUUGGCUUUUAUCAUGGUUUUGUCUCCAACCAUGUACCGGAGACUUUCAAAUAUUUUGUUGGUCACUUGGGCCAUUCUUUAAGGUAAAGGCGCUAGUUCACUAAAGGGAUGGGCCAACUUCCCAAAGUGAUGGGCUAUCUUUUCUAAGGUAAUGAGCUAUUUUCUCUCCUUUAUGUUUACCCACAUAUUUGGGCUCAAGAAAUGGACUUGAGUUUCGGGAUUCCCAAGCAGCCCAAAACUUCCAUUUCUCAGCUCAUCAAUAGGCCUCAUGAAAGCUCGUAACCAUCUAUACCACAACCCAAUCAGCAAGCCCAAGGCAUUCGCGUGGCUUGGGUCCACUUAAACUUGUAGUGUGGCGUGUUGCUUAUUUGCUUGGCGUGGCACGUGUGCAAGCGUAUAUGAUGAACUCUUGCGUACCUAAAUUAGGUUUCUUCCCAAGUUAGGUGUCGUACUAGGCCGAGAAUUUAUUCGGGCCCAACAGUGGAUUUUUUGAACCUCAACACUUAGGUAGCAAAAAUCAGAGGACACAGAGAGAUAGAGAGAGGGAGACAGCCACAGACCAUCAAGUACUUUAAGUUAGGUUUGAUUCAUGAUAUUAACUGACUCUUAUAUUUGCUUUAAUAUCCAUGUGGAUGAAAUUUAAAAUGUGAUAUCAUGUGGUUAAGUAGUGGUGUAGGAUUUGUCUUUCAAUGGUUUCAACCAAUUUCGUGGAUGUUAAGAUUGAUAUAGGUUGGUUGACAAUAGGUAGAUCGUCCUUAUCGUUUCUAAUCCUAAUAUGACAAUGCCUUAUAUUAAUUUUCUAAUUUUUGGUUGAAUAUCUUAUUUGAACAAAGGCAUCUGAAAAUUUGAUCAUUUUGAUGUGUAGAGGCCAUUGUUACACUUCGCAAAGAAAAAUAAUGUAUAUCUUUUGCUGGACAAAAUUACGCUUAUAUAUAUGUGCUGGCUAGUGUGUUCCAUUUCUUUUUGUUUUGUUAUUUGGCAAAUGUUACACUUUUGUACAGGGGAACAAUACCACCCAUCUUUCCUUUUGAAGUGUUAUUUGAAGAAAAUGAUUUUGAAUGAUUUGAAAGAAUUACAUAUGCACUUUAAAAAAAAUGCAACCUUCAAAAAUACAUCCAAAUAGCUAAAUAAAGUAUUUCUUGUUUGUUUUAUGGGAAAUAUGAAACUUUGCUCCCACAGAUGAUAUUGACGGAGAAAAGAAAGAAUUUUCGUUCCUAAACCAAGAAGAGAAAUCACGUGGGUUUUUGAUCAGAAGAGGAGAUUGGAAUGAGUAGGAGGGUAUUUUAGAAAUUUUCUCCCCACUAAAAAUAUUAUCAAAAUAUUAAAUAGAAAGUUUCUUUUAAAAAAAGAAUAAAAGAUAGAGUCAAAAGUUAUUAACAGCUGGCGUCAUCUCAUUAGGCUGGGACACUGACGUGGACAGCUGACCAUAGCAUACCCAUGGCAGGGAAGUUUUUCUCCAGUGGAGGAGACUGUGCAGAAGAAGAUAGCCUUUUUUCUUAUGCUUUUCUUUCCUCUGCCCUUCUCUUUUCUAACUUGCUAUCAUGGUAUGGUUCUGAGCUUUCUCAUUCUCACGUCUUUGUUGUUGUAAUUCUAUCUGAGAAAUUUAUAAAAUUCUUCUCUGUAUUCUUUUUGGUCAGUUGGGUGAGUGCUGUUUGAUUGCCUUGUUGCUUUUUUUCUUCCCUGAUCUAGGGUUUAGGGUUUCAAACAUUUUAUUGAGCUUGAAGAGGAAGUGAUGAUGAUAAAGCAAGGACCUUUUGAUAAAGAUUACUACUUCCUGAUGUGGGCCUUUGACCAUAGAAAGAGAUCAGAUAAAGCAAGGAAAUGGGAGAAAAUAUACGCCCUUUGGCAUUUGAUGGUCCUUGUUGCUUGCUUGUAAGUUGUAAUUGUCGGUGAGCAGGCUUAGCUAAAGAGAGUAAAGGAAAGCAACAGUGAGAGAGAGAACUCUCCCUCCUCUCUUUUCCACACUUUCUCUCUCCAUCUUCUUUUCUUUAUCUCCUUUACUUUGCCACACCCAAAGCAAUACUUACUAAACUAACUAAUCCAAAAUGAUUAUUAAUUUAUUAACUGGGGUUAAUUGCUGCAGCCUUCAUCCCAAAGCAAUACUUACUAAACUAACUAAUCCACAGGCUUCUUGUGAGGCAAUCUUUUCUCUUAUUCAAUUACCCCAGUUAAUAUGAAACUGUUGAAAUCAAUAUUUAUAUAAAUACAAUUGCGAAAAAAUAUUUACGAAAUUUUGUAAGUAAUACGUAGAGCACGUGAUUUAAAAAAAAUAUCUCACAUAUGAGAAAGCGCGUACAAAAAGACUAAUAAAACAUAAACAAAAAGGAUAAUCCUCAAGGGGAGCCACUAAUUAUUGAUCAUAUACCAGACAACUCCCAUCUUUAUAUAACUUCCAUUUUCAUUUUUCUUUUAAUUUUGUAAUUUGUAAUUUGGAUUUUUGGGAGGUGGAGUGGGAUAAGAAUUAUAGGGUGCGGUUCGUGUACCUAGGAAACCGCCACGUUCUUUCUUUAGGAAAUUUGGGAUAAAGUUAAAAAAACAUAAGUUGGGAGGUAGUGAAAUUAAAAGCAAGGCCAUGUGUUUCAUGAAUCAAAAUCAGACAGUUUUGUGUCCCAGUGAUGCAGAGAUAUAUACAAAUAUCAUUUAGACUUUUGCUUUUGGGCUUUGAUCAGGAUCUGAUCCGUUAUCUCAUCACCUUUUUUUUUUCUUUUUCCUUUUUUUACUCUUCAGUUUCUGCAUGUGCGUUACACUAACAUCAUUACUAAUCUCCUUUUUAUCUAAGCUGUCUUUCUGUAAAGGUAACACUGAUAUUCCUUCCCCAUAAUUCAAAGAAAAAAGGAGUUUGAGAUGUGGAAAUAUGGAUUCCCGAAUCAAAACUUUUUGAUUUUGUUAACGAUUAUAGUGGGCCCAUCAGUACUGGGAAUUUGUCUGCUUAUUUUGAAUUGAAAGCUACCUCUUGUUGGAAAACCUUAAAAGUUGUUUCUUUCCAAGCCCACUUACACUUGCUGUGUAAACUAAUGAAGUCUACAUGAAAGCAAUCUCAUGUCCUAUUGUGUAUAUGCAUGUGCUUAAUUGGUGUAUAUUCUGUAGUACCACAACAGAAUGUUUAACAUUCAAUUGGGGCUAAUUCCAUGAUAGAGUGGUAAUUGAACAGUAUCAAUACAUCAAUAAGUGCACAGUUGGGUAUACACAAUGAUCAAAAGGAGACAAAACAUAACAGCGGUUUAAGUGUUUCAUAAGAGAGUAAAAUAGAAGAAAUUGAGAACUGUUCAUAAGCAAAUCUGCCCAUUCAUAAGCAUACGUCUAAUUAUAAAAUCAAAGAACAAGAUACUGAAUAAAAAUAAAGUGAGAAAGAGAGAUUGUUAAAUGCUCUCAGCAACCAAUCAUAUUGUAAAAUGAGAAAGAGAGAUGAUUGUCGUCAAACCUUGCUACAACGGCCGAGAUCUUUGGAUCCACUAGAAUCUCCCCUUUCAGCUUCAACCCCAGAUAUUUCUUUGUCUUUGUACCUCUCAACCUUGAAAGCCCUUGGAACAAGGUGGUUCUAUAUACCAGACAAAAGAAACCAAUUAUCAAAUUUAAUCAGAAACUCACAUUACCAACAAACAAAACCCAGCUAUCCAAAAAAAUUCAAGAAACCAAAAGACAAAGGGAAUAGAAAAAGCAAACUGACAUUUGAUUUCAAAAUCCCCAAUUUCUAGGGUUUGAACUGAUGAGAGCGAGGAGGAGAGAUGGACGAAAAGAUAGAGAGAGAGAGAGAGAGAGAGAGAGAGAGCACGCGAGCUUCAAGCUUCUCCCAUGGAAGCUAGCUUGAGUGAGAACCAGUAGCACAGAGCGAACCAGCAGAUCCAACGACAAGAGAAAAAAAAUUCAAGAAAAACGCAUUUGUUUUGUUUUGAAUAAUAAGGGUCUUUUUGCAAAUGACCCCAUUGGUGUAGUGGUUUGGAGUAUUUACUCCCUCAGACAAGGUCUUGGAUUCGAGUCCUAGCAUCCGCAUAGUGUGUGUGAGUUUAGUAUGCUAUCGCCCCUCUCAAUGAGUCCUGUUUACCUGUUACCAAAGUUCCUGUGGCCUCCUGUUUCCCUGCUAGUUUCGUGACAUGUGGCAAGCCACUUAACACCACUUAACUCUGUUAACUCUUUUUGCUUCUUUUUAUUGUUUGUUUUUUUUGCUUUUUCUCCCAGUUCUGCCCCUUGAGGGUUUAGGGUUUAGGGUUUAGAGCUGGUGUUUCGGCUCGAGUCCAUGUGUUGUUUUGGGCUGGUAAGGGAAAAAUGAGCGGAAAAGAUAAGAGAAGGUAGGGAAAAAGGGGGUGAAGGAGAAACUAAAAAAAGAAAUAAAAAAGGAGAUGAGAGAAAAAGAAAAACAAAGCAAAAGCAAAAGCAAAAAAAAAAAAGAAGAGAGAGAGAGAGAGAGAGAGAGAGAGAGAGAGAGAGAGAGAGAGAAUGUGGAGGUAGAGAUCUGGAAAAGAUAACAAAAAAAGAAGAAGAGGAGAGGAGACGACGGAGGGAGGGGGAGAGAAGAGAGAAAGGGGCAUAACAGGGAGAAAAAGAAAAAAAGAAAAAAAAAGCAAAAAGAAGCAAAAAGAGUAAACAAAGUUAAGUGGUUUUAAGUGGCUUGCCACAUGUCAUGAAAUUAGCAGGGAAACAGGGGGCACAGGAACUUUAGUAACAGGUAAAUCGGACUCCCUCUCAAUAGGAAAUAUCCACAAAACACAAAAGAAAAAAAGGUCUUUUAAAAUUUGUUUUGGAAUUGGAUUUUUAAAAAUAGACCUACCAAACGAGUUUUUGGGCUUUUGAAUUUAAAAUCAGUUUUUGAGUUUAUAAAAUUGGACUCAAAUCAAAUACCAAACAGACCCUUAAAGACUUAAUGUUUUCUUAAAAUAUUGCGUUUGUUUAUUUUAUAGAGUACAAUUAUAUGUUUUAAAUAAUUUUCAAAUUAUCUAAUAUUUUUUAAGAAUCAACUGUAAAUUAUGCCUGACGGUGAAAAUACAAUUUACCUCAAAAAUAACUAAUUAUUUGACGUUAUUUGACGUGUUGAGAAGGCUAAAUAUGGAGUCUACAGAAGUCUAGAGAGACUUGACUAGUUGACAUCCCUGUCUCCAAUUAGCCUAUAUAGGGCCAAGAGUAUGCUUACAUUACAGCAGCAACUCAAUAAUCUAGAGGCACUCUUGUUAAUUAUUCAUGGCAACUCCCAUUAUUUCUAGCUCCUCCUUCCUUAGGUUUUUCAUGGCUUUCUUCUCUGUAUUUCUAUGCCUAAGUCUCUGCUCUUUCGAGAACGGAUUUGCUUUGGCAGCAAGAGAUACAAAACCCCACCCUCUCCCACAUACCACUCACACAGUUGAAGUGAAGUCUCUUCUACCAGCAACCACCUGCAGCCCCUCCACCAAAGGUUAAUUCAUCCCAUAUUAUAUAUAUAUAUUAAUUUCAAACCCCAUUUUAUGUGCAUUUAUGUAUCUCUAACACACACACACACACUCUGUCUCUGUCUCUCUCUCUCUCUCUCUCUCUCUCUCUCUCUCUCUCUAUGCAUACAUGUUUCAAUGAUCUCAGGUCAUAACAUUAACAAGGCAUCAUCGGUACUGAAAGUGGUGCACAAACAUGGGCCAUGCUCCAAUUUCCACAAAUCAUCAAAAACUUCAACCACAACUUGUGAUGAAAAAUACCAUGCUCAAAUCCUCAAGCAAGACCAAGCCCGAGUCAACUCAAUCCACUCCCGCCUCAACCACAACAACAACAAAGACCCACUCACCCAAUCCGCCGCCACCACCCUCCCCGCCAAGUCUGGUCUCGUUAUCGGCACAGGGAACUACAUUGUCACCGUCAGCCUCGGUACACCCGCCAAGCAACUCUCCCUCGCCUUCGACACCGGCAGCGACCUCACCUGGACCCAAUGCAAGGCAUGUUCUGCUACUCAGUCUUGUUACAAACAGAGAGAGCCCAUCUUCAACCCUUUUCUCUCCGCCUCAUACAAAAAAAUCUCAUGUACCACCGCCGCGUGUACUCAGCUCUCAUCCAUCGGCGUCCAACACGGCUGCUCCGCCUCCACCUCCGCCUGCCUCUACGGCACCCGUUACGGAGACAACUCCUUCUCUGUCGGGGUCUUUGGCAGCGAAAAGCUUACAUUGACCCCGACGGACAUUUUUGAAGGUUUCCUCUUCGGCUGCGGCCUAAAGAACAAAGGCCUUUUCGGCGGCUCUGCCGGUAUGCUCGGUCUCGGCCGGAGCAACAC